AUGUACAGAUCUACCUCUAUUUUCAUUUGACAGGAAGAAUCUGUUACAGUGGCCACACAUAGUGGGAUAGCGCUUCUGGAACAAGAGCCUGAACACAGUAGCCUCAGGACAAAUGGGGCUUGAGAUUUGGAAAGGGACUCCUUGUGGAAAGGAUUGUGUCUUUCAGUAUAGUGAGAGGAAGCCUGCAUCAGGGUGGCUGGAAACAUUCAGAUCCUUUGUUGGCAGGACUUCUGCAGACUGUAGACAGAGCUAAGGGCUGUGGCUUAGCCCCUUGUGUGUCCAAUGCUGCCCGCUGUAGAGGAGCCCAGGGAUGGGCACUGGAGCCCGCACCAUCAUCUGAUGGCCUGUGUGGAGGUACAUCUGCGUUCUCUAGGGAUACCCUGGAUGCUGUGCAUAUCAAAGCCUCUGCUCUGGGACUUCCCUGGUGGUCCAGUGGUUGGGACUCCACGCUGCCACUGCAGGGAGCCUGGGUUUGAUCUUUGGUCAGGGAACUAAGAUCCCACAAGCCACGUGGCACUGCCAGAAAAAAGGCCUCUGCUCUCACAAGCAGCCUACCACCUGAGUUGUCCAGUUGGGAGCUGGUAGAGGUCUGGCAGCCAGUGCUUUGGCGAGAGCAGCUGUCUAAUCAGAAGCUUCAGGGAAUUUUAUCCGCAAAAACUUCCACCUUCUCGAGAAAGACUGUCCUGAUCCAUCAAGAUGGUCCCAUCACCCUCCGAUCUCUGGCACCUGAGAACAAGGGACCAGAAUCUGGAUGUCUUCAAGACAUUCUCCUGAGACUUGAAGGCAGCUCUGGUCCCGGUGGCAGCCAUCCAUGGUACCACCUGAUGACCAUCUUUAGAGUGGACAGAGAAACAAGCGAAAACAUGUAGCAGCCAGAAUGGAGGAGCCCUAACUAAGACACAGAUCCUGGACCGGGUUGGGGGUUUUAUGCUUUCACAGAUGCUACAGUUGAGGCCCUCCUUCUGAAAGUCGCUGGGCCCACGCUGGAGGCCUCAGGCAACUGCUUGUGCUGUAAGGCAGUUCUCAACAAGCCCUAGCUGCAUCUGAGGGUGGAGAGCAAACUCCUAUUUGGGAGGAAUCCCGUGCUUCCACCAAACAGCAUGUGGAGUUAAAAUAAUGAUGUUUUGGUUAUGUAGAGCCAGUGGCCAUUCUCCCAAACGUACAUAAACAUAAACACACAUGUAAACACACUCACAUCAGCAUUAUUUUAACCUAAUUGAUUUUAAUGAAUUGCUGGUAUAGUUAUUCUCAUUCCCAAUUCUAUAUAGGCUUACUUGUCUUCAUCUAGUCCACAUAUCUGAGUUUCAUAAACCUGGGUGGGAAAAGAAUACAGUAAAGUUGGUAAUUUGUGUAUUUUUUUUUAAUUUUUGAAUUGUCACGAGACCAAACUAAACUGAAAUGUUGGUGUGGUAGUAUUUUUCAUCCAAAUCAUUCCUUUCAAACACAGCUGUGUCAUCCAUCAUCUAAGUUGCUGCCUUCUUUUUUCUUUUUUUUUAAACACACCGUUUUUUAAAUGUAAGUUGGUACUUCAGCUCUGUGUUUUGUUUUCAUAUUAUGUAUAACGAUGUCUAUCUUGGAUGCUGUGGGGCUAUCAUUGUACUUCCCACCUUAUUUGAAUUGUCUUUUUCUUCUCACAAGUUGUGUCAUGCCCUUCCUUUCUAUAUUUUCUGACAUUCCCAGACUAGCGAAGGAGUAACCAGCUAAAGAUGGUUAGUUCCCUUUCCCUUAAACCAUUAAAGUUAUGUCUCAUUUCCCUUUUGGGGAUUCUGUCAGGGAACAUUGCUUUAGAGUACAUUGUAUUUGUGUGAGAUGGGCUCCCCUCAGCCGAGCAUUCAGUGAUGUUGGGCAUGUGUUGUUGGAAUUCAUGGAGAGAACAUGACCUGGAUUGACCUGGGAGAUGGACCCAGGUAAUGGAACCACCUCAAACCACCCCCCGAGCCUUGUCCUUGGAAUGUGCAUUCUGCUUGGUUUCACCAAGAAGUAAGCUUAACAAGGACACAAUUUUGAGAUAGCAAGGUGUUGUUGACACCUUUGGACAGUAUAGCUGACUGAACCCUUAAUGCCUCUAUUUAACCUUUUUUAAGGUUCUGGCAUACAGGUGGGAAACCUAAUCGUUUUGUGGCUGCCCAAGACAAGCUUCAGAAGUAAGUUCCCUUGCUUGUUAAACAUGCUACCUACCCUAGUGUGGUCUACCCCUUUCUUCAGACUGUUGUUACAUGUGAGUAAUGGGGUGGGUUUCAGAUUACACCCAGGAAGCUGUCAAGAAGUUGGGACUCAAGACCGUGAUGUGUGGGUAGACCCUGGACUUAUCCAUUCACCCUUAGUAUUCAAAGUAUCAUGAUCUCACCCUCAAAAGAAGGAAAUGACUUAGGCAUGGAAUGAAGUGGAUUUCUGGAGAUGCUGAGGGAUAUGUGCAGUGUACACAAGGAAGCUAACCUCUUCAUUUUGGAAAGAACACACCCAAACCUAAUCCUGAGGAACCCAGAGUGAUGGACUGCAACCGAAAGCAAACUGUUUGAGUAUGUGAAAACUAGAGAGCCCUGAAACAAAAUUGUACUGGCGAAAGGAUGAUGGCACCUUCAGAAGUACGUGGUAGCCUCUGAACUUGCCUUUCAUUUAAUUUCCACUUGCUUCGUGGGAUUCCUUCAAGGUCAUAAAUUUUGAAUGAGGGUUUACCGUAGGAAGCUGUUGAAAUAAAUAGGGGUGAGGCAUCCUUGUACUUGUAUAAGUCCUGUGCUUCCACGAACUGAACAAUUGGCCAGCAGUUUCUGUGCAGUCCAGGUGGCUCUCCCAACAUGGAUUCAUCAGCACAUCAAGCGAAGGGCUGGUGGUGUCCUGGAGUUUGAUACAGUUCAGGAAAUCCAAGAUGUCUAUGGUGCAGGAACGUGUCUGAAACCACAUUCCACCAUGGCCAUCUGGCUCCAGUUGGAAUGCCUGAAACACAGUUUUAUAUCUUUUCAUAACAAGGGACAAACGUCAGAUAUGGAGUACGUCACUUCAAGGUUUCAAGAGAGAAAGUUUAGCACGUACACAGCUAGGCAGCAUGAUCUCACUGUCUGGAAAGAGAAACUCAUCCUCCAAGGAGAACCAGCCUGGGCAUCAUCAGAAGGGGGACAUUUGCCCUUAUCUUGAAAGCGACUCCCAAGAGGACUGAAGAAGGAGACUUGUUUUGAAGCCAUGUCAAAGGAUGCUGUGCAAGCACUGCUUCAGAAGAACCCUUACCCUCGUGUAGCUACCAGAGAACAGCUGGCCUGAGACCUUGGCAUUCUAGAAAGCAGAGUUCAGAUGCUGUGGAGGCGUCAUGAAUAGUUGUCACCAUGCGGACUAGCCUCUUGUCUUUCCAUAUAAGAAGAAUCACUUCUCCCUUCCGUAAGAAUGUCAUUCCCCUCCCCCUGCAUAGAUUUUUAGAUUUCUUCUUUAAUUGGUUUGGUAGACGAUGAUUCUCUCUUACAUUCCCACAAACUCUGGUUUUAUUUUUCAACAAUAUUUCAGAUGUGGACACACCAUUGUAAUAAUUGUCUUGGUAAAUAUGGUGCCAUGAACCAAGAUAAGGUUGUAGGACUGAUAAUAUUGUUUCUUGCAGUUUCUUUCCUUCACCUGUGUAAAUCUCAAGGUUGCAUAUAUAUCCAGUUUCACGUUAGCUAACCAUCCUGACCAAAAUUCCAUAUUUUGUGAGUUUUCCCAGAUUACAGGUUUUGAAUCUGAGUCAUCCUCUCCACUUUAUCAUUGCCUCAUCAAGUGAUAACUCUUGUUUGGGUAUAUAGAUUGAUUGAAAUUCUGGUAGAAAAUAAUCCAAAAGAGGUUUAACUUUUGAAAUUCUGUCUGCAGGAAGUGGAGUUUCCAAGUUAUUGUUAAAGUGAAGAAAUGUCAUUAUUUGUUUGAACCUUCUUCUCGUCAUAAUCUUUGGAAAGAUAGGUGUUUCAAGUAAGGGAUCAGUCGACCAAUAUCCUUUCCAGUGUGACUUUCUUAUUUGUGCCAUCAAAAUUAUUAAUCCAAGAAACUUCUUCAUGUCACUGUUGGUUAUAGCAGUCCAUUUUAAAACCUUAUCAUACUUUUUAUAUGAUUUUUCAUUUUGUUGGUGAUACAAGUUUGAGAAGUGACCAACUCGAACAGGUUACUAAAAAUUAAUUCUGUUAUUUCACUAACACUUUGCUGGUUAUUACAUUCAGCAGUUACACCCGACACACCUGUAAAGUCUUCUAAUUUUCCUGAAAUGUUGUCUUCAAUCCACUCUUCUGUAGAAGCAAAGGAGCAUUCUCCAGCACUAAACUACAUGUAUUGUAUUUAUGAUAUUAAUCAAGGUAAAAAAUUUAACUCUGAAAUUUUAAAUCUCCAUAAAAAUAACUUCAGACUGAAAUGGCUUUUUGAAUUUGCAAAUAAAUAACACAAUCUUGAAAAAUCAUCAUGAAACAAUGCUCAACUCAUCUUACGAAAAUAGGACAGUCUCCAACCCCAAACCUGGAAAGAUUACAACAAAGGAUGGCUACAGAAUACACACAGAAAAACUCAGAAAAACUCAGUGAUUAUAAAAACUGAAUACAUUCUGAUCAAGGAUGAUGUAUUUCAGAAAUACGAGAUUGGUUUAAUCAAGACUACUCACCAGUACGAACAGAAUAAGUAGGAGAAGCCAUAUGAUUUAUCUCAUACAGAGAUAGAUAGCAUUUGACAAAACUGAAUUCAUGUUUUUUUUUAAAAAACUCGAGGACUAGAAGAGAACGUCCUUAAAAUGAUAAAGGGCAUUUACAGAAAUCCUUAACAUCAAAAUUAAUGGUAACAUACUGAACAGUAUCUCCCUGAGGUCAGAACUUCUGUACGACACUCUACGGGCUAGGAAUGCCUGUACAAAAGGCAAAAAAGUCUGUAUUCAUAAAUGACAGAAUUGUUUACAUAGAAAAUUUUUACAAAUCUACAAAACAACUACCAGAAAAAGUGAAUUCAUCAGCAAGGUUGCAGGAUACAAGGUAAAUGUGCAAGCAUAAAGUUUUUCUAUAUACUAUUUGUACUGUUUUUUCUAUAAUUGUUUAAUGCUAGUAUAAAGACAAAAAUAAUAUAAAAUAUUUAGGAAUAUAUUUAAAGAAAAAUCAGCAAAACUGCUCAACUGAGAAUUUAAAGACCUAAGUAGAGGUAUACCCUGGUCAAGAUGUCAGUUCUCCCCCAAAUGAGUGAUGCAAUCCCAAAUAACGUCCUAACAGGUGUGUCUGUAUUUAUGGAAAUUAAAUUUUAGAAUCACCUUGUUAAUGAAAAUACAAAAGACCUAUAACAGUAUAGAAUUGUCCAGAAUGUCUAAAAACAUAGAUAUCAUUUUAAUACAUUGUGUAGACUAAAGAUGUUCUUGGCAACAUUCAUGCUGUAGAAUACCCAAGAAUCUUGAAGAAAACAGCAAACCUAGAAGGUUAACUCUGCCAGAUGUCAAGACUUAUAAUAUUAUAAUAAAAGACA